rnacentral:rRNA from 1 species
ACGAACGCUGGCGGCGUGCUUCACCCCUGCCAGUCGAACGGAAAGGCCCUGCUUUUGUGGGGUGCUCGAGUGGCGAACGGGUGAGUAACACGUGAGUAACCUGCCCCUGACUUUGGGAUAACUUCAGGAAACUGGGGCUAAUACCGGAUAGGAGCUCCUGCUGCAUGGUGGGGGUUGGAAAGUUUCGGCGGUUGGGGAUGGACUCGCGGCUUAUCAGCUUGUUGGUGGGGUAGUGGCUUACCAAGGCUUUGACGGGUAGCCGGCCUGAGAGGGUGACCGGCCACAUUGGGACUGAGAUACGGCCCAGACUCCUACGGGAGGCAGCAGUGGGGAAUAUUGCACAAUGGGCGGAAGCCUGAUGCAGCAACGCCGCGUGCGGGAUGACGGCCUUCGGGUUGUAAACCGCUUUCGCCUGUGACGAAGCGUGAGUGACGGUAAUGGGUAAAGAAGCACCGGCUAACUACGUG